UACGAAGGGGGCUAGCGUUGUUCGGAUUUACUGGGCGUAAAGCGCACGUAGGCGGAUCGUUAAGUCGGGGGUGAAAUCCUGGAGCUCAACUCCAGAACUGCCUUCGAUACUGGCGAUCUUGAGUCCGGAAGAGGUGAGUGGAACUCCUAGUGUAGAGGUGGAAUUCGUAGAUAUUAGGAAGAACACCAGUGGCGAAGGCGGCUCACUGGCCCGAUACUGACGUGAGGCACGAAAGCGUGGGGAGCAAACAGG
rnacentral:rRNA from 1 species